CAUCACCACCUUCUGCUAGCUAUGCAAUGCUCUCCAUCCUACAGGACUCACAUCCAGGGUGACGAGCUGCAGAUCAAGGUGGAUUAAACAGAGCUGGAGGCAGGGGUUCCAUUGAAUAGAAACACAGAAGCAGAGCUGCCUGGGAGACUGCAUGCAGGGAAAUGAUGGCAGGAGCUCUCUCCAUGGGAGGUUAUAGCAGCUCUUGAUGGAGGAAAAUGGGAAUCUGUGAGUUCUUAGAAGCUGAAGAAAAAAGAUCCUGGAACUUUACCAUAGGGCAGAGGAUGAUGGAAGACGUAGGAUCUGACGUUGGUUCUGCCCUUUGGAAUUUGUACGUAGGCUUUAGCUUUUCCCAACAAUAAGCACGGCAAUCUGCAAUUUCUUCACAUCUGAGUGGCAGUGACUUCACUCAUAGGUAGUAUCAAAUGGCCUGCAACCAGUGGCAUUUGCUUAUUCUGCCAAGGUAUUAUGCCAACACUGCCUGGAAUCUAUGCUCAUUAUGGAGGAGGCAGAGCAAGAUAGCCAGAUAGAACCCUCCAGCGAUCAUCCCCCUGGAGGACAUCAAAUUGAACUAUUCACCUAAGAAAGCACCUUCAUAAGAAUCUACAUCAUGGCCAUUAAAAAAGCAUUGGUUAAAUAAAUAUCGA
rnacentral:lncRNA from 10 species